rnacentral:rRNA from 1 species
CAAUAGCGUAUAUUUAAGUUGCUGCAGUUAAAAAGCUCGUAGUUGGAUUUCGGGUGGGAAUGGCCGGUCCGCCGUUUCGGUGUGCACUUGCUACGCCCACCUUGCUGCCGGGGACGUGCUCUUGAGUUCACGCUCGGGACACGGAGUCGGCGAGGUUACUUUGAGUAAAUUAGAGUGUUCAAAGCAGGCCUACGCUCUGAAUACAUUAGCAUGGAAUAACGCGAUAGGACUCUGGCCUAUCUUGUUGGUCUGUAGGACCGGAGUAAUGAUUAAGAGGGACAGUCGGGGGGCAUUCGUAUUUCAUUGUCAGAGGUGAAAUUCUUGGAUUUAUGAAAGACGAACUACUGCGAAAGCAUUUGCCAAGGAUGUUUUCAUUAA